rnacentral:rRNA from 1 species
CCUACGGGGGGCAGCAGUGAGGAAUAUUGGUCAAUGGGCGCGAGCCUGAACCAGCCAAGUAGCGUGAAGGAUGACUGCCCUACGGGUUGUAAACUUCUUUUAUAAAGGAAUAAAGUGAGGCACGUGUGCCUUUUUGUAUGUACUUUAUGAAUAAGGAUCGGCUAAUUCCGUGCCAGCAGCCGCGGUAAUACGGAGGAGCCGAGCGUUAUCCGGAUUUAUUGGGUUUAAAGGGAGCGUAGAUGGGUUGUUAAGUUAGUUGUGAAAGUGUGCGGCUCAACCGUAAAAUUGCAAUGGAUACUGGCAGACUUGAGUACAGUUGAGGUAGGCGGAAUUCGUGGUGUAGCGGUGAAAUGCUUAGAUAUCACGAAGAACUCCGAUUGCGAAGGCAGCUUACUAAACUGCCACUGACGUUGAUGCUCGAAAGUGUGGGUAUCAAACAGGAUUAGAUACCCCAGUAGUC